rnacentral:rRNA from 1 species
GGGCUUACCAUGCAAGUCCGAGCGGGCGUAGCAAUACGUCAGCGGCAUUCCGGUGAGUAACGCGUGGGAACGUACCUUUUGGUUCGGAACAACACAGGGUAAACUUGUGCUAAUACCGGAUAAGCCCUUACGGGGAAAGAUUUAUCGCCGAAAGAUCGGCCCGCGUCUGAUUAGCUAGUUGGUGAGGUAAUGGCUCACCAAGGCGACGAUCAGUAGCUGGUCUGAGAGGAUGAUCAGCCACAUUGGGACUGAGACACGGCCCAAACUCCUACGGGAGGCAGCAGUGGGGAAUAUUGGACAAUGGGCGCAAGCCUGAUCCAGCCAUGCCGCGUGAGUGAUGAAGGCCCUACGGUUGUAAAGCUCUUUUGUGCGGGAAGAUAAUGACGGUACCGCAAGAAUAAGCCCCGGCUAACUUCGUGCCAGCAGCCGCGGUAAUACGAAGGGGGCUAGCCGUUGCUCGGAAUCACUGGGCGUAAAGGGUGCGUAAGCGGGUCUUUAAGUCAGGGGGUGAAAUCCUGGAGCUCAACUCCAGAACUGCCUUUGAUACUGAAAGAUCUUGAGUUCGGGAAAAGGUGAGUGGAACUGCCAGUGUAAAGGUGAAAUUCGUAGAUAUUCGCAAAACACCAAA